ensembl:lncRNA
CUGCUGGUCACUACAGAGAAGUAGAGUCAUUUCCUCAUAGACGUCUAUGGGAGCAGAGGAGUCGCCCCCUGCUGGUCACUACAGAGAAGUAGAGUAAUUUCCUCAUAGACGUCUAUGGGAGCAGAGGAGUCGCCCCCUGCUGGUCACUACAGAGAAGUAGAGUCAUUUCCUCAUAGACGUCUAUGGCAGCAGAGGAGUCGCCCCCUGCUGGUCACUGCACAGAAUGCAGCUUUAGCUCUGGUUGCGAAUUCUGGAUGAAUACGGACCUACUGAGGACCAAAUGAGAGCAGGCUUAGGCCCACAUAGAAUACUUAUUGAAUGAAAGGUGUUAUAUUUGGUUUCAACUCUUUCUGGGUCCCAUUUAAUGUCUUGUUUUUGCUUAUUUCCUCCCGUGUUCCCUCUUCCGUCUGUCAAUGCUUUUAUAACUUAGCCUCUUACAACAGAUCCAUGAAUUUCAAACUUAUUAUCAUCGUCGAUUCAAAUCGAUGAUGUAGCUGGUUUAAUGACAUCCAACGAUGCUGUGAUCCCACACACGCUCUGAAAGUUCAAAUAUCAUUUUUACAUUUAGAAAUAAGAGAAAAGUACUAAACCAACAAUGGAAUUCAAGGUCCUCUUAGUCUUAAUAGGUUGCUAAAGACCUUCAUGCCCCCCCCCUUCUGAGGAGACAUAUUAACAGCCUUCUGUGACUAAUGGACGUAGUGGGAUCUCAUUUAAAGCAGAGAGGGUAUCAAAUCCACGAGUGCACAAAGACAUUAAAGGACGUCCGCUGGGAGGUCGCAGGGGUUUGAUCCACCCCCCCCCCCCCUCCCGGGACGUCUAGCCGGCUCAUUAUGUAGGAUAUAAAAAGAGGAAAAUACAGUAUCCUGUGCCUCUAAUGCCGCUGUAAUUCAUGGAAUGAUACCUGGAGUUUCUGGAUCGUCAUCACGUAUCAUCGCAGGUUGUUCAGAGAAAAUCUCUUUCACAUAACGGUGCCGUUUUGAGCUUCUGUUUGGGGGGGCAUUCAUUCAUUGUUAAUGGGACUUUAAUUAGUCUAAAUGAUAAUAGAAGCGUUAGCUAGAGGGCUAGAUUCACAAAAGAAGAAGCACUAUUCUGUAUUAGUAGAAAUUGGAUACGUUUUUUUUGAAACAAAGGUAAAUAUAUGUAGAAUCUAAUGAUUCAAUAUUUACUGUUUUAGAAACUCCACCCAUGGUCACAUGACCUCCCGUCUUGCAUGCUUAGUUGUUCCAUAACCUAAGUAGCUUUAACACAUUACAUUAACCAACAUGCAGGACCAUUUCCUGUCAUAUACCCCCCCCCCCCCCCCCCAUGAGGCUGGACAUCGGUGUCGUGGUGAUUUGCAUAUCGCACCGCAACCGUUUUUCUUUCCUUGCACGCGACUUCUCUUUUUUCUCUUUUGUUGUGUGUCCCGUACAGUUAGGACUUUAUGUUUUAAUUGCCCGGCCCCCCCCCCCCUGCGGGGGGAUAUUUUCACAGGAGGUGGGCACCUGCCUCGGCUUCCUCGCUGAUUGUUUCCAGGACGGGGGGCCUCCACGGUCCUGACAUUUUUUACACCGAGGUAACGUUUCCUUGCAUUAUGGUCGCAGAAUAGCUCCCCUUGUCUAUUGUGCUGCUUGUUAAAACUCCUCAUGGAUUCAUGAACAGUGAUCGGGGGGGACGGGGGGGGGGGGAUUCCGGGGAAUUCCAGCAGCAUUCCUAUCAGAUUUCCUUCUGCGCUCUUUCCUUCUUUCCCUUCCACCUCCGUGGUGUGAAGGCCGUUCCAGAGAAGCGACACAUGAUGUUCUGCAUCAAACUAAACGGAAGAGAAUCAGUCAGAAAGGAAUAUUUAAGAAGUGAUCGAAGUGGAUCAUUUUCUUGAAUUAGUCAAUUCAUUUUAUAAAAUAUCCCCCCCCUCAGCUUGGUGAGAGGACCUGCUGCAUCCAGUUCUCUCACAGUGACGCUGGAGAUCCGCUCGGCACCAGAGACAAAAGGACGAAGACAAAUAAACAGAAGCAGCGUUUGAAGCGGCGUCUCCUCCUCGCUGACGGGCAGCGGGGGGGUCUGAGCUGUUUGACCCCCGGUGCCGCUUGGUUGCACCCAAAAGCCUCAAAGCGUGAGUCCCGGUCACGGCUCUCUGAUCUGCAGGCCAUCCGUCGCCAGCAGGGUGGUGCUCAGCAGCAGCACCGCCCGCUGGAAUCAAGUGAUACCAGCGAAUUGUAUCAAAGGGUUCUACCCAGAACCUCUUCAUCAGGACGCUUCAUCAGGCAGCUUCAUCAGGAAGCUUCAUCAGGCAGCUUCAUCAGGAAGCUUCAUCAAGACGCUUCAUCAGGAAGCUUCAUCGGGAAGCUUCAUCAGGAAGCUUCAUCAGGCAGCUUCAUCAGGAAGCUUCAUCAAGACGCUUCAUCAGUAAGCUUCAUCAGGCAGCUUCAUCAGGCAGCUUCAUCAGUAAGCUUCAUCAGGCAGCUUCAUCAGGCAGCUUCAUCAGGCAGCUUCAUCAGGCAGCUUCAUCAGUAAGCUUCAUCAGGCAGCUUCGUCAGGCAGCUUCAUCGGGCAGCUUCAUCGGGCAGCGUCGUCAGGCAGCUUCAUCAGGCAGCUUCUCGUGACCAGCCUCUGCAGCGUCGCUCUGCAGUACCUCCCCCCCCCUCCACAUCUGCACAGUGUGCGUUUGUGUACUUUGUGCGCGGCCGACCUUUUUCUCUCCCACUGCUCCGUGGAGCCGGCGUUCUGUUGUCGAGAGCCUGCAGCCGCGCUGCUCAUUGUAUUUGUGUCCUGUGUGUCGCUUCCUGCGUCCAGAUUGUGGAUUGUUGGCCGAGACAAUGGUGUGUUUCGCCUUGGAAGGACACCUCCAUCAUUUACCACGGGGCGGUGAACGCAGACCCACACGCCGCCGCUGCUCGGGGACAAUAUGUAUUUAUCCCCCGAGCCGUUGCUUGAAUGCAAUGAAUCAUAAUUUCGAUACGUUUCUAUUCUAUAACUCCCAAAGCACAAUGCAGCAACGUGGUUUUCCCCCACCGAGAAACAAGGCGCCGGGUAUCUGAACCCUUCCUGUUGCGUCGAUAAGAGAAAGCGAAAAGCCCCAAAAAAGGAAGAUCUUCUGGGAGAUAACGCACCAUAAAACAAUCUGGAUUAAUGUCUCCUACUGUUCCAGAGGUUAUGAACCGGCCCCGUUUCCUGUGAAUUCACCUACUGUACUUAACCAGAGGUAUUCAUGUGGGGAAAGGCAAACAUUCCCACCUCCACAAAUAUGCAGUCAAGCACACACUUGUCGCUGGUGGGAUGGCGGUGAGAGCGAAGCCUCUCCCGCAUUGGCGGCUCGCCUCCCACCCGAGCACGCCAAGCGCGGAGAAAAUAAAGGCUGCAGAGCGGAGAGAGGAAGUCGUAACGUGUUCGGACCGAGAGGCAUUCUUCAGGUCAGGAGGCGUUUCUCUAUUGAGCUCCAACACGUCGCUGCCGUCACUCCAGAGAUGGAAAGUUCUAAUAUUGGUGUUUGUUUUUUAUUGUCAAGGCUGCGUUGGAGGUCAGUGUGUAGAUUCAGUUUUGCACAUUUAACUUGAAUGGAGCUCAUAAAAUAUUGUUUAUUUUCUUGGGUGUGUCCUUACAAAUGAUCUCUUCUAUCCAGCUUCUGCUUUUCAAGUUGUAAAUGAGCUUUUAUACAGCAAACAAUUGUGUCUGAUCACUUGUUCCAAAAGGCCACACGACUAAACGCUGCAACAACAUGCGGAGCCCGACAUGCACGCCAUGCACGCCAUGACCACCAUGACCACCAUGCACGCCAUGCACACUAUGCACGCCAUGACCACCAUGACCACCAUGACCACCAUGCACGCCAUGCACACUAUGCACGCCAUGACCACCAUGACCACCAUGCACGCCAUGCACACUAUGCACGCCAUGACCGGCAUGACCACUAUGCACGCCAUGACCACCAUGC